rnacentral:rRNA from 1 species
AUUCAGUCUGGAAGUGCGGGCGGUGCUGGUCGGAAAUGCGGACGGCAGGGAUUCCCCCRGAGGGGACCGUCCGACCGCAUCGAGCGCUCGCCUGUCAGACGCAUUUGUCUCCCGUCCGAAGGACGCCGCAGCCGGUUGGGUAACGCAAACUCGACGGCCUGAGAGGCGGAAGAUGGCAGGUGGCCGGUGGUUCGCCCUCCGAGGCGGGCCAGCCGGUUGUUAGCCGUUCCGCCGGUGGCUGUCACCCGACCGUGGUGUCGCCAGGCCCCCAGCGGGCCGAUAACCGUCUCCUCCUCGAGAAGCGGGACCGAAGGGCGCGAGCGAGACACGCUGCCCUGUCGCACCGCCUCAGCGGUGGACGGGCGUGCGGGAGAUCUCGUGGACUGCGUCCGCGGACCCGCGGGAGGCACGAGGCUUGCGGCGAGUAGGUCGGUCACCCACCCGACCCGUCUUGAAACACGGACCAAGGAGUCUAACAUGUGCGCGAGUCAAUGGGACUUGUGUAGGCCCAGAGGCGCAAUGAAAGCGAAGGUGCGGCCUGAGCCCGCCGAGUUGGGAUCCCCUGUGACAGGGGGCGCACCAACGACCCGUCCUAUCCGGCACGUCCGGUUGGGCGGAGUGUGAGCGUACACGUUGGGACCCGAAAGAUGGUGAACUAUGCCCGGACAGGACGAAGCCAGAGGAAACUCUGGUGGAGGUCCGCAGCGGUUCUGACGUGCAAAU